AAUUUUGUAGUUGAAUUAUAAAAUAUUAGAAUGCAAUUCUAAAGGUAUAAGUUUUUACUUA
rnacentral:tRNA from 1 species